rnacentral:rRNA from 1 species
GACGAAGGGGGCUAGCGUUGUUCGGAAUUACUGGGCGUAAAGCGCGUGUAGGCGGUUGUUCAAGUCAGGUGUGAAAGCCUUGAGCUCAACUCAAGAAAUGCACUUGAUACUGGAUGACUAGAGGACCGGAGAGGAUAGUGGAAUUCCCAGUGUAGUGGUGAAAUACGUAGAGAUUGGGAAGAACACCAGUGGCGAAGGCGGCUAUCUGGACGGUUUCUGACGCUAAGACGCGAA